UCCCUGGUGGUCCAGUGGCUAAGACUCCAUGCUCCCAGUGCAGGGGGCCCAGGUUCAAUCCCUGGUCAGGGAA
rnacentral:tRNA from 1 species